GAUGAACGCUAGCGACAGGCUUAACACAUGCAAGUCGAGGGGCAGCGGGGAGGUAGCAAUACUUCCGCCGGCGACCGGCGCACGGGUGAGUAACACGUAUGGAACCUGCCCGUAGCAGGGGGAUAAGCGGAAGAAAUUCCGUCUAAUACCGCGUAAUAACUCCGAGGGGCAUCCCUUGGGGUUUAAAGGGUAACACCGGCUACGGAUGGCCAUGCGGCGCAUUAGCUAGUUGGCGGGGCAACGGCCCACCAAGGCGACGAUGCGUAGGGGUUCUGAGAGGAAGGUCCCCCACACUGGUACUGAGACACGGACCAGACUCCUACGGGAGGCAGCAGUGAGGAAUAUUGGUCAAUGGGCGCGAGCCUGAACCAGCCAAGUCGCGUGAGGGAAGACGGUCCUAUGGAUUGUAAACCUCUUUUGUCGGGGAGCAAAAGACGCCACGCGUGGCGUUCCGAGAGUACCCGAAGAAAAAGCAUCGGCUAACUCCGUGCCAGCAGCCGCGGUAAUACGGAGGAUGCGAGCGUUAUCCGGAUUUAUUGGGUUUAAAGGGUGCGCAGGCGGAAGAUCAAGUCAGCGGUAAAAUUGAGGGGCUCAACCUCUUCGAGCCGUUGAAACUGGUUUUCUUGAGUGAGCGAGAAGUAUGCGGAAUGCGUGGUGUAGCGGUGAAAUGCAUAGAUAUCACGCAGAACUCCGAUUGCGAAGGCAGCAUACCGGCGCUCAACUGACGCUCAUGCACGAAAGUGUGGGUAUCGAACAGGAUUAGAUACCCUGGUAGUCCACACAGUAAACGAUGAAUACUAAUUGUUCGGGGAGAAUGAUCCCUGAGUGAUACAGCGAAAGCGUUAAGUAUUCCACCUGGGGAGUACGCCGGCAACGGUGAAACUCAAAGGAAUUGACGGGGGCCCGCACAAGCGGAGGAACAUGUGGUUUAAUUCGAUGAUACGCGAGGAACCUUACCCGGGCUCAAACGACACAGGAAUACUUUUGAAAGGAGGUAGCUCUACGGAGCCUGUGUCGAGGUGCUGCAUGGUUGUCGUCAGCUCGUGCCGUGAGGUGUCGGCUUAAGUGCCAUAACGAGCGCAACCCCCAUCGCCAGUUACCAGCAAGUCAAGUUGGGGACUCUGGCGAGACUGCCGGCGCAAGCUGUGAGGAAGGCGGGGAUGACGUCAAAUCAGCACGGCCCUUACGUCCGGGGCGACACACGUGUUACAAUGGCAGGUACAGAGAGAAGCAAUGCGGCGACGCAAAGCGGAACUUGAAAGCCUGUCUCAGUUCGGAUUGGAGUCUGCAACUCGACUCCAUGAAGCUGGAUUCGCUAGUAAUCGCGCAUCAGCCAUGGCGCGGUGAAUACGUUCCCGGGCCUUGUACACACCGCCCGUCAAGCCAUGGAAGCCGGGAGUGCCUGAAGUGUGCAACCGCAAGGAGCGCCCUAAGGUAAAACUGGUGACUGGGGCUAAGUCGUAACAAGGUAGCCGUACCGGAAGGUGCGGCUGGAACACCUCCUUUCUGGAACGGAAAUCUCCAAGACAACGACACAACGGUCAGACGGACCGAAGGAAACGCCGGAGAGCGGAGCAAUCCGCCUCUUGAUACUGCUUCACAGUUGCAACUAUAUAUUAAUCCCCACACAAGCGGAUUCCCAGCAGUCCUUCCUUAAGGGAUUAAGCACAGUCCCUUAGCUCAGUUGGUUAGAGCGCUACACUGAUAAUGUAGAGGUCGGCAGUUCAACUCUGCCAGGGACUACUCAAAAAAGAGGACAUUGACAUAUUGGAAGCGAAGAAGAUACAAUCUUCAAGCAAACACAACGAGUAAAUCAAAUCAAGCGAAACACGAGGUAACAAACUUCGCGUUUCUGAAAUCAGACAAAAGACUGAACAAUUUCAGAGAGCGAGCCGCGUGAUGUUCGAACCGAUUGAAAACUAAGGUCAUAAAGAAAGGAGAGAAGGGCACAUGAAGGAUGCCUGGGCUCUCGGAGGCGAUGAAGGACGUGAUAAGCUGCGAUAAGCUGCGGGAAGGAGCAAAUAUCCUUUGAUCCGCAGAUUUCCGAAUGGGGCAACCCACUGCCCGAACAGGCAGUAUCUUCCGAAUGGAAGAGGCGAACUUGGGGAACUGAAACAUCUCAGUACCCAAAGGAAAAGAAAAUAACCCAAUGAUUGCGCCAGUAGUGGCGAGCGAACGCGCAAGAGCCCAAACCGGCGGUGUUCAGGCACUGACCGGGGUUGUAGGACCGUCAGCAAAUGGACAGUCAGAAGUUAGCCGAAGCCUCUGGAAAGGGGCGCCGCAGCGGGUGACAGCCCCGUAGGCGAAAACAGACGACUGACAGAGACGGCACCUGAGUAAGCCGGGACACGAGAAAUCCUGGCCGAAUCCGCGGGGACCAUCCCGUAAGGCUAAAUACUACCGAGAGACCGAUAGCGAACC
rnacentral:rRNA from 1 species